UACGUAGGUGGCAAGCGUUGUCCGGAUUUACUGGGCGUAAAGGAUGCGUAGGCGGAUAUUUAAGUCAGAUGUGAAAUUCCCGAGCUUAACUUGGGAGCUGCAUUUGAAACUGGGUAUCUAGAGUGUGGGAGAGGAGAGCGGAAUUCCCGGUGUAGUGGUGGAAUGCGUAGAGAUCGGGAGGAACACCAGUGGCGAAAGCGGCUCUCUGGUCCAAAACUGACGCUGAGGGGCGAAAGCGUGGGGAGCGAACGGG
rnacentral:rRNA from 1 species